GCCUUCUUUUUCCUUGAAAUUUUUUAUCCGCGAUCAAGUAUUGUUCAAAAUUGUCCAAAACUUUAUAAGCCGCAGACUUGGGCGCACGAGGCACGUGUCAGGAACAUCUAAUUAAAUUACAGCAAUGUUUAUCACGUGACAAACUGAGGGUGGCUUGGACGGUAUUUUAGGAGAGAGAAACGAUGAAGCUGGAAAUAAAUUUAUCAGUGAAAAAUAUCGCGAACAUUCGAAUUGUAGUUAUCGAAGUGCGAUGUUGUGUUGAUAUAAAUAGCCGAGCUACUAGGAGGGCAAGCAUGCAGGCGCCCAGUAAAGCAGUUAUUUAAUUAUUCCAUUUAAGACACUCCGGGAGAGAGGCGACGAGAUGGCGCCGGGUUACAACCUUUCACACUAAGCAUUAGAAAUAACGCAUUCACAACGCAGGGCAAAGGCCAC